rnacentral:rRNA from 1 species
GUAGUCUCGCACAGAUGCAUAUCAAUAAGCGGAGGAAAAGAAACUAACAAGGAUUCCCUUAGUAACGGCGAGUGAGCGGGAAGAGCUCAAAUUUGAAAUCUUCAAGGUUUUACCUUGACGAAUUGUAGUUUAAAGAAGUGUUUUCUGUUGAAGUUUUGGUAAAAGUUCUUUGGAAUAGGACAUCAUAGAGGGUGAGAAUCCCGUAUUUGACCAUUAUUUUCAGCUGUGUGAUACACUUUCAAAGAGUCGGAUUGUUUGGGAAUGCAGUCCAAAAUGGGUGGUAAAUUUCAUCUAAAGCUAAAUAUUGGCGAGAGACCGAUAGCGAACAAGUACCGUGAGGGAAAGAUGAAAAGAACUUUGAAAAGAGAGUUAAACAGUACGUGAAAUUGUCAAAAGGGAAGCGUUUGACACCAGUGUUGUUUUCUCGAAAAUCAAUUAAAAAGAGUUAGAUUUUGUUGUGUAUUGACCUUAACAGCUUGCAUUUCAAUUUUCUUGCUUUUUUUAAUGCACUUUUCGUUUAACAAGUCAACAUCAGUUUCUUUUGUUGUAAAAAGGUCAUUGGAAGGUGGCUUUCUUUUCGGAGAAAGUGUUUAUAGCCUUUGACUCCUGCAAUCGGAGAGACUGAGGUCUGCAGCGUAGAUCCUUCGGGGUUAGAUACAUUUGUGCUAAGUUAUAGCUUUUUAUAGACAACUUAGUUGACUAUGAUUAGUCUUGUAGCUUACUCGCUUAUGCUAUUUUACCUACGCUUAGGAUGUUGAGCGCAUGUCUCUCUCU